rnacentral:rRNA from 1 species
AUUGAACGCUGGCGGCAGGCCUAACACAUGCAAGUCGAGCGGAUGAAGGGAGCUUGCUCCUGGAUUCAGCGGCGGACGGGUGAGUAAUGCCUAGGAAUCUGCCUGGUAGUGGGGGAUAACGUCCGGAAACGGGCGCUAAUACCGCGUACGUCCUGAGGGAGAAAGUGGGGGAUCUUCGGACCUCACGCUAUCAGAUGAGCCUAGGUCGGAUUAGCUAGUUGGUGGGGUAAAGGCCUACCAAGGCGACGAUCCGUAACUGGUCUGAGAGGAUGAUCAGUCACACUGGAACUGAGACACGGUCCAGACUCCUACGGGAGGCAGCAGUGGGGAAUAUUGGACAAUGGGCGAAAGCCUGAUCCAGCCAUGCCGCGUGUGUGAAGAAGGUCUUCAGAUUGUAAAGCACUUUAAGUUGGGAGGAAGGGCAGUAAGUUAAUACCUUGCUGUUUUGACGUUACCAACAGAAUAAGCACCGGCUAACUUCGUG